GUUUGAUCCUGGCUCAGAUUGAACGCUGGCGGCAUGCCUUACACAUGCAAGUCGAACGGUAACAGGUCUUCGGACGCUGACGAGUGGCGAACGGGUGAGUAAUACAUCGGAACGUGCCCGAUCGUGGGGGAUAACGAAGCGAAAGCUUUGCUAAUACCGCAUACGAUCUACGGAUGAAAGCAGGGGACCGCAAGGCCUUGCGCGAACGGAGUGGCCGAUGGCAGAUUAGGUAGUUGGUGGGAUAAAAGCUUACCAAGCCGACGAUCUGUAGCUGGUCUGAGAGGACGACCAGCCACACUGGGACUGAGACACGGCCCAGACUCCUACGGGAGGCAGCAGUGGGGAAUUUUGGACAAUGGGCGAAAGCCUGAUCCAGCAAUGCCGCGUGUGUGAAGAAGGCCUUCGGGUUGUAAAGCACUUUUGUCCGGAAAGAAAUCCUUGGCUCUAAUACAGUCGGGGGAUGACGGUACCGGAAGAAUAAGCACCGGCUAACUACGUGCCAGCAGCCGCGGUGAUACGUAGGGUGCGAGCGUUGUCCGGAUUUAUUGGGCGUAAAGGGCUCGUAGGUGGUUGAUCGCGUCGGAAGUGUAAUCUUGGGGCUUAACCCUGAGCGUGCUUUCGAUACGGGUUGACUUGAGGAAGGUAGGGGAGAAUGGAAUUCCUGGUGGAGCGGUGGAAUGCGCAGAUAUCAGGAGGAACACCGGUGGCGAAGGCGGAUCUCUGGGCCAUUACUGACGCUGAGGAGCGAAAGCGUGGGGAGCGAACAGGAUUAGAUACCCUGGUAGUCCACGCCGUAAACGGUGGGAACUAGGUGUUGGCGACAUUCCACGU
rnacentral:rRNA from 1 species